CCUACGGGAGGCAGCAGUGGGGAAUUUUGGACAAUGGGGGCAACCCUGAUCCAGCCAUUCCGCGUGAGUGAAGAAGGCCUUCGGGUUGUAAAGCUCUUUCGCAAGGGAAGAAAACUUAUGAUCGAAUAAAUCAUGAGGUUGACGGUACCUUGAUAAGAAGCACCGGCUAACUACGUGCCAGCAGCCGCGGUAAUACGUAGGGUGCGAGCGUUAAUCGGAAUUACUGGGCGUAAAGCGUGCGCAGGCGGUUUUGUAAGUCGGAUGUGAAAUCCCCGGGCUCAACCUGGGAACUGCGUUCGAAACUGCAAGGCUAGAGUGUGUCAGAGGGGGGUAGAAUUCCACGUGUAGCAGUGAAAUGCGUAGAGAUGUGGAGGAAUACCAAUGGCGAAGGCAGCCCCCUGGGAUAACACUGACGCUCAUGCACGAAAGCGUGGGGAGCAAACAGGAUUAGAUACCCUGGUAGUCCACGCCCUAAACGAUGUCAACUAGUUGUUGGUAGAGUAAAAUCUAUGAGUAACGUAGCUAACGCGUGAAGUUGACCGCCUGGGGGAGGUACGGUCGCGAAGAGUAAACUUACAAUAGUUAAGUUAGUACGGCGNGAGACGACCGACGGACGACGACGAGGGAGGAGG
rnacentral:rRNA from 1 species